CCGAAAUCUGCGCCGGAACCAAGCGGCAUCCAACAUUUGUCACAGCCAUGCUCACCACCACGGGGAACGAAAACCCCUGAACGGAGGGGUGUCAGCAGUAGCUAGUGGCAUCAGCUACUGCUGUAAACCCGUAGUUCAGGAGAUUGGGGUUGGUGGCUGCGAGCAUGGCAGUGACAAAUGUUGGAUGCCGCUUGGUUCCGGCGCAGAUUUCGG
rfam:Ectocarpus siliculosus strain Ec 32, whole genome shotgun sequence assembly, unassigned sequences LGTn